UACGUAGGGUGCAAGCGUUUGUCCGGAAUUAUUGGGCGUAAAGAGCUCGUAGGCGGUUUGUCGCGUCUGCUGUGAAAACCCGAGGCUCAACCUCGGGCCUGCAGUGGGUACGGGCAGACUAGAGUGCGGUAGGGGGAGAUUGGAAUUCCUGGUGUAGCGGUGGAAUGCGCAGAUAUCAGGAGGAACACCAAUGGCGAAGGCAGAUCUCUGGGCCGUAACUGAUGCUGAGGAGCGAAAGCAUGGGGAGCGAAACAGGG
rnacentral:rRNA from 1 species